UAAGAAACAAAAUUGAUGGAGAAACGCACGCACGGAAAUAAGAAACAGAAGCAGCAAACAAGUCACGCAGUCAACAGAAAAUCUAGGGUUCUUUACGAAUCACUUAUUCUUGAACUCAGGGGGUCUACGUAUUGGCUCAAGGAGUUUUGAGAACCGGUUUUGCAGGCGAGCAGGCUACAAGUUAGGACUUCCUUCUCUUCCAGUGCUAUUGGUAAGCUCCGUUUUUGUUCGUGGAAUAUUCCUUAGAGUCAUUUUUAUUUAUCUAUUUCUUCGUUUACUUAGAGAACUGGCCAGAAAAUCUCAUGUCCUGAGCAGU